rnacentral:rRNA from 1 species
CCUACGGGUGGCUGCAGUGGGGAAUAUUGCACAAUGGGCGCAAGCCUGAUGCAGCCAUGCCGCGUGUGUGAAGAAGGCCUUCGGGUUGUAAAGCACUUUCAGCGGGGAGGAAGGCGUUAAGGUUAAUAACCUUGGCGAUUGACGUUACCCGCAGAAGAAGCACCGGCUAACUCCGUGCCAGCAGCCGCGGUAAUACGGAGGGUGCAAGCGUUAAUCGGAACUACUGGGCGUAAAGCGCACGCAGGCGGUCUGUCAAGUCGGAUGUGAAAUCCCCGGGCUCAACCUGGGAACUGCAUUCGAAACUGGCAGGCUAGAGUCUUGUAGAGGGGGGUAGAAUUCCAGGUGUAGCGGUGAAAUGCGUAGAGAUCUGGAGGAAUACCGGUGGCGAAGGCGGCCCCCUGGACAAAGACUGACGCUCAGGUGCGAAAGCGUGGGGAGCAAACAGGAUUAGAUACCCGAGUAGUC